UGAACGCUGGCGGCGUGCCUAAUACAUGCACGUCGAGCGAACGGACGCGAAGCUUGCUUCUCUGCUGUUAGCGGCGGACGGGUGAGUAACACGUGGAUAACCUACCUAUAAGACUGGGAUAACUUCGGGAAACCGGAGCUAAUACCGGAUAAUAUUUUGAACCGCAUGGUUCAAAAGUAAAAGACGGUCUUGCUGUCACUUAUAGAUGGAUCCGCGCUGCAUUAGCUAGUUGGUAAGGUAACGGCUUACCAAGGCAACGAUGCAUAGCCGACCUGAGAGGGUGAUCGGCCACACUGGAACUGAGACACGGUCCAGACUCCUACGGGAGGCAGCAGUAGGGAAUCUUCCGCAAUGGGCGAAAGCCUGACGGAGCAACGCCGCGUGAGUGAUGAAGGUCUUCGGAUCGUAAAACUCUGUUAUUAGGGAAGAACAUAUGUGUAAGUAACUGUGCACAUCUUGACGGUACCUAAUCAGAAAGCCACGGCUAACUACGUG
rnacentral:rRNA from 1 species